rnacentral:lncRNA from 1 species
GUUGGAGGAAGCAGCGGCAGCGGCGAGGGCGGCAGGCUAGCUGUCGGAGACGGCAAGCACGGAUCGGGCACGGCCGGCGGGUCGCAGCCGGGCUGGAGGCCGGUCGGAACCGAGCGGGCAGGAGGCCACCGCUGCAGCGCGGGCCCCGCAGAGGAAGGAAGCCGGCGGGUGAAGCUCGUGUGUGGAGUGCCACGGUACAAUCAGACGACAGAUGGACAGUGUGACAAAAGUGUCAGAAAGGAUUGGGCCUCGCUGUGAGAGUCAGCCUGGAUUCAAAGUGUUGACAAGUUGCUGAAAAGGAAGCCAGUGAGAGGACUGUGGCACGCAGAGGAAGUGGAGCCCUGUCUUCGGUCACACCAUUGAUGGAGGACAGAUGGACAGCCGUAUGGCCAGUCACCUCUCCUCUUAAACCUUUGGAGAGUGGUCCUUUGUCCUCUGCUGGACACAUAAUAGGAAUUCUAACACAUUCUCUGAAUUCACUUUUCAUAAAAACGUAAAAUCAGACUGCUCUGUACAACCAGGCUCAACUGUUGCAUGGUAGCAGAUUUGCAAACAUGAGUGCUGAGGGGUACCAGUACAGAGCGCUGUAUGAUUAUAAAAAGGAAAGAGAAGAAGAUAUUGACUUGCACUUGGGUGACAUAUUGACUGUGAAUAAAGGGUCCUUAGUAGCUCUUGGAUUCAGUGAUGGACAGGAAGCCAGGCCUGAAGAAAUUGGCUGGUUAAAUGGCUAUAAUGAAACCACAGGGGAAAGGGGGGACUUUCCGGGAACUUACGUAGAAUAUAUUGGAAG